rnacentral:rRNA from 1 species
GACGAACGCUGGCGGCGUGCUUAACACAUGCAAGUCGAGCGAUGAAGUUCCUUCGGGAACGGAUUAGCGGCGGACGGGUGAGUAACACGUGGGUAACCUGCCUCAUAGAGGGGAAUAGCCUUCCGAAAGGAAGAUUAAUACCGCAUAAGAUUGUAGUACCGCAUGGUACAGCAAUUAAAGGAGCAAUCCGCUAUGAGAUGGACCCGCGUCGCAUUAGCUAGUUGGUGAGGUAACGGCUCACCAAGGCGACGAUGCGUAGCCGACCUGAGAGGGUGAUCGGCCACAUUGGGACUGAGACACGGCCCAGACUCCUACGGGAGGCAGCAGUGGGGAAUAUUGCACAAUGGGGGAAACCCUGAUGCAGCAACGCCGCGUGAGUGAUGACGGUCUUCGGAUUGUAAAACUCUGUCUUCAGGGACGAUAAUGACGGUACCUGAGGAGGAAGCCACGGCUAACUACGUGCCAGCCGCCGCCGUAAUAC